GCUCUGGCUCUUUGUGCUGUUCAAGGAGUGCCUGUGAGGAUGUUUCCAGGAGAGAUAAGUAUUGGAAUUGAUGGACCAAGUAAAGCAGGUGGCAUACUCCAAUAUGGAUGGGCAUGAUUCAAUCCAUUGAGGGCUCGAAUAGAGCAAAAAGACAGAAGAAUGCUGGGUUCACCUGCUCUCUGCUGGACUACUUGGGUUGGGACAUCUAUCUUCUUCUGCCUUUGAUGCUUCUGGUUCUCAGGCCUUGAGAUUUAGCCUGGAAUCUACACCAUUGACCCUCUAGCUUUCAGGCCUUUAAACUUCACUUGACCUUCCUGCAUGUCCAGAUUGCAGACAGCAGAUUCUGGGAUUUCUUAGCCUCCAUAAUCAUGUGAGCCAAUAUGUGAUAAUAAAUUUCUUUAAAAAUAUGGAUUAGUAAAAUUUGCAUCCUAAUGAAAAUGUAAGCAUUGUGACAGAGAAUGCUUUAGUCAGUCUCAAAUCCUAAAUUUGAGAUUGAAAUUUAAGAUAGCUUA
rnacentral:lncRNA from 10 species